rnacentral:rRNA from 1 species
ACGCUGGCGGCAGGCCUAACACAUGCAAGUCGAACGGUAGCACAGAAGAGCUUGCUCUUCGGGUGACGAGUGGCGGACGGGUGAGUAAUGCCUGGGAAACUGCCCGAUGGAGGGGGAUAACUACUGGAAACGGUAGCUAAUACCGCAUAACGUCUUCGGACCAAAGUGGGGGACCUUCGGGCCUCACACCAUCGGAUGUGCCCAGGUGGGAUUAGCUAGUAGGUGGGGUAAUGGCUCACCUAGGCGACGAUCCCUAGCUGGUCUGAGAGGAUGACCAGCCACACUGGAACUGAGACACGGUCCAGACUCCUACGGGAGGCAGCAGUGGGGAAUAUUGCACAAUGGGCGCAAGCCUGAUGCAGCCAUGCCGCGUGUAUGAAGAAGGCCUUCGGGUUGUAAAGUACUUUCAGUGGGGAGGAAGGAGAUGAGGGUUAAUAACCUUGUCGAUUGACGUUACCUGCAGAAGAAGCACCGGCUAACUCCGUGCCAGCAGCCGCGGUAAUACGGAGGGUGCAAGCGUUAAUCGGAAUUACUGGGCGUAAAGCGCACGCAGGCGGUCUGUCAAGUCGGAUGUGAAAUCCCCGGGCUCAACCUGGGAACUGCAUUCGAAACUGGCAGACUAGAGUCUUGUAGAGGGGGGUAGAAUUCCAGGUGUAGCGGUGAAAUGCGUAGAGAUCUGGAGGAAUACCGGUGGCGAAGGCGGCCCCCUGGACAAAGACUGACGCUCAGGUGCGAAAGCGUGGGGAGCAAAC